rnacentral:ribozyme from 13 species
AAAAAGAAUCAAGAAAUUCAAUUGCCAAAGCUGGUAAAUUCAUUACAAUAUGGUGUGGUAAUGGGACUUCUUCUUCUACUACUCUUUUCUUCUUUACUUUUUCUUUCCCUUCUUUCUC